GAUGCCUAUCCAGCCUUCUCUUACAGACCCCCAAGAACGGCAGUCUUUAUCACAUCAGUGGCAUCGAUGUCUUUAAACACUUUGUUCUCAAUUGAUAACACUGCCAGUCCUGUAUAUGCACAAUAUUAAAACAUUUUUUUUGCAAUUGUAAUUUUAUUUUUUUCAUUUUUGGGCCCCCUUCCUGUCCGGGCCCAGUUCGCCCACGCCUGUGUCCGGGUCUGCCCCUAAGCAGAGCCGCGCUUUGGGGAGCUGUGGCAGCACUGCUGGGUGCAGAGUGCCGGAGGGGUGCACGCUCGAGACACAGCCCUGGAUGGCCGGACUGGUCUUUGCCUGCCUCCCGCAGCCCAGAGCGCUCCAGGCAGGCAUCUGACCCGUCUGACCAUGCCGCCACCUCCCCGCUGCCCUUUGGCUGGGCUCUUGGGCCUGGCACCCAGGGCUAAGGGGCAGCAGAGGCUGUCCCUGCACUCUCCCAGCCGCACGGUCGCUGCUCUGGAAACCCCCUGCGCAGGGUCCCCGCCUCCACUGGCUGCUGGCAGCAGCCCCGGAGCCGCAGCGCUGCCACCGGGGAGAGAGGUAAUAAAUAACCCAGGGAGAGAGGAGCGGAGCCCGGCGGGCGGCGCAGACUCUGACCUGACAAAUACCCGCUGGAAAAUCAUCACCUCCCACCCCCUGGAGCCAGCCCCAGCCCUGGCCCCAGACAGGGGGGGAAGGAUGCGCAAACAAGGCUGCCCAGGCGCUGGGGUGCACAGGAGCCAGCCAGCCCCGCCAGGCGCCUGCCGCCUCUGCCCCAGCCAGCUGCCCUGAGGAGGAGGAGAAUGGGGCCUGGCUCCCCAGAGUACAGGGAGGAUGGCAGGGAGGCAGGGGUAGGGGAGCCAGGGAGCUGGCAGGGAAGAGGCGAGAGGAACCAGAACUCGUGGCAGAGCUCUGCCGAUGCUCCGUGGUCAAUAAUGAUAAAGGAAAAAAAAAAAGGUUGAGGCCAUUAUAAAGAAGCGAUUGCAUUAUGGAGAAGUGGCGGCAGCAGCCCCUUCAGAAUCUAUGAUUCCCUGAGGUCACGUCUGGUAUGUUCAGAGCACUGGCCACUGUCGGUAUUUACCCUGCAUCAUUAACUCACCAACCAGUUUUGGCUUGCCAGAAAUGACUGAUUUCUCCAGCCUGAUGGCAAUCAUCAUUCGGGAGACAGAGCAGCGCGUUCCUGCGGCUGAACCAGCGCGGGUGAUAUUUAAUAAAUAAAUAAAAUGGCCGGAUGGUUGA